AAAGAUGUUUGCUGUACACAUGGACAAAACACUGAGUAUACUGAGAGCCCUGGAAUACACAGCUAGCAGGUACCACACUGCGUAUACUGAUUCCUCUGGCAUAUACAGAGUAUACUGAAAGCCAGCAGGUACCACACUGAGUAUAUUGACUCCUCUGGUAUAUCCAGGGUAUACUGAAAGCCAGCGGUACCACACUGCGUAUACUGAUUCCUCUGGUAUAUACGGAGGAUACUAAAAGCCAGCGGGUACCACACAGCGUAUACUGACUUCUGAUAUAUACGGAGUAUACUGACAGCCCUGAUAUCCACAGGGAGGUGUGCAGACUGCCCGCACGGGUACACACAGAGUAUAUUGGAUGAAACUGUGAAGCUCAGGACAUGGCAGGUGAGUUUGUUCCUGUUGUGCCAUUUCUCAGGAUUCCACAGACAGACCUGCAGAGUUCACUGUUAAUUCUAAGGAGACCUUAUGGUAAAGCUGCUGAGUUCCUGCCAAACAGAUCAAUUUAUUAGACAUUUUUACCCGAAAUAUCCAAAAUGGAAUAAAUUUCCCACUCGGAUAUUUUGGCCAUUGUCAGUUCCCCAGUAUUCCCGUUUGGUGAAUCGUUUUAUCGGUGAAUAGUUUAUCAGCUGAGGUUUUCACACUCUAAUCUCUGUGCCAGGUCGGAUUUAUCAAUGUCUGUGGAUGUUCUAAUAACGUAGACGAGAGACUGUUUAUUUAAAAUAUGCUGCAUGAAUUCGAAUUUCAUUAGAAAUGUGAGUAACAUUGAGAACUUGUUAAGAAAUCGCAUUAUAACCUGCCUUGUAAGUAUGUGUUAAAUCAAUAAAUAGUCACUGGGAAAGCAGUUUUAGACUUUACUGACUAAUCCCGGCGCAGUUUCAUCCCACGUCUCAUUAUUCACGAAUUAUCCUGAACGGUAUUUGGACCAUUUGUUUCUUUUGAUAUUUUGAUUUCUAAAAAAUAUUCUCACAUUAAAAUGUUCGAGCUCUGUGGAUAAAGUUGGUGCUACAUCAAUGCCUAUAAUAUAAUAUAAUAAUAAUAAUAAAUAAUAAUAAAUAAUAAUAACACUGCAUCAGGCUCCAACAACUCCAAUGGAUUGCCACUCCUAUUCUGCUUGGCCAGCGCAUUGCAGGGAAGCAGAAUGUCUGUCCUUGCCCUCUAUGUAACAGAAUUUAUAACGAUUCCUCAAUUUGGAUUAAAUAAAUAAAUGUGGUGAGUUGGAAGGGAUUAGAGGAGAAUAGCUGAUUUUACACUGUAAACAGUGUGUUGUGUUGAUAAGUCGUUUUUAGAAUAUUUCUAACACCCAAUACACAGCGUGUCUCAUUCAGGAAGGUUUUAUUUUGUAACUAAUUCCAACUCAGCUGUGCAAGUCGCUAUUCACAGACACAAAAGGCAAACAAUCUCAUUUCCUGCUGUUUGUGCAGUUAUUGGGGGCUAUAAAGUUUACAGUUUGUGUCUGAACAAGCUCAGGGCUUCCUUUAUAAUUCCGCUCCUUAAAAGAAACUGCUUUCUGUCUUCAUAAAUGUCGAGUUGCCUGAUUUAAUAUAACGCUUUAUACAAACAGAGCUAAUAACUCAAUAUUUAAAAUAAAUAAAGGAAACGGCAAAAUAUUGCUGGAAAUUUUAAUAAAAAUCCACAGAAAUCUUUAAAAAAAAAAUAAUUAAAUACAAUUUUAUGCAAAGAACAGGGAUUGAUAGCUAGGACAUAAAUUAGGAGGGGAUAUAAUUUUCUGUAUAAAUGACUGUUUAUGGAUACCUAAAAAUGAUUAAUAGUAAUGCAUAUAAUACAAUGAGACUUUGUAAGGAUCCAGCAGGUACUUCUGGAAAUGCAGAUUCCCAAAAUGUAAACAUAAAGCCGUAAACAAUGAAUUAAGUUUUUACAAAAACAAACUAGCAAAUAAUUAAUUCAUAAUUCAUUCUUUCAUAUUAAGUGCACCCACAUUUAUUGGAUAUAAUUUUAUUCAGAAGAAACAGGGCUUUCAUUUCACAUCAAAUUGUUAAAUAUGUAACAUAAUUUAAUAGGAAUAAAAUCUAAAAACAAUUGUGAGAAAUUAAGACAUUUGGUUACGUUCUAAGUUCUACAUGGCAUUUUAACUGUGAAUAUCAUAAUAUUGUUUGCUUUUACUGCAAUAAAUUACACAUAUAUUUGAGUUCAGCGAUGCCUUACAAGUACAACAGUGUCCCCCAUGUACAGGUUUAUAGUGUUUUGAAAAGUUACAGGUUAAAAUAUAGGGCUUUCCCAUUUUCUAUUUUUACACCUUGAAAUUUGCCAGGUUGGUUAUGUUGCCUUUGAAACCUUAUGGCAGCCCAGUAAUGAGAAUUACCCCAUCAUGGCAUACCACUUUCAAAAGUAGACAACCCAGGGUAUUCAGAAUGGGGUAUGUCCAGUCUUUUUUAGUAGACAGUCACAAAACAUGAUCAAAAUUAGUGUUCAUAUUUGAUUUUUUAAUUUUUCCCACACAAACGGCAUACACUGAUAUUACCAUUGCGAUAUAUUUUACUGUUUUGAAACACUCAUAUUUGUAUUCAACGAAGUCCCCCGAGUACAACAGCACCCCCCCUAUGUACAAGUUUUAUGGUAUUAUGGAAAGUUAUAGCUUUAAAUAUAAAACUUCCAAAUUAUAUUAUCUGGACUUUCUGCCUGGGUUGUUAGGUAGGUCCAACAAAUUGUAAUUAAUAAAAUGUCUUAAUUAAGUAAAACAAUUACAUAAAUAUACACGUAGAAGUUAUACAUAUAAGUCAUAUAUAUAUAUAAUUUCAUUCUAAGUGUAUUUUGAUAUUUGAUAUAUAUAUAUAUAUGAGGCGUUAAGGAGUUAAAGCUAUUUCAUGCUUCUUCUUCAAGGAGGAUCAUAGAACAGUCACCUCAAAGUAUAUUUUAAUAUUAUAAUCCUUUCAUCAAGUUUGGAAUUGAAAUAGGUUUUUAAAUGAAAUAAAUGUAAAAAAUUAGAAACACAUCCCUACCUUUAGUGUAUGGCAGGAUCCUUCAGCCAUAAAGAGCCCCCCCUCUACCCCCACUAAUAUUCACACUCUUGAUAAAUAUGAGCAAACAAGGCUGUGAAAAUUGUCUUUAUUGUUUAACCUUUUCACCUUUUGUUCAAAAAAUACACACAAAUAAGCUGCUCUAAUGCAUAUCUAACAAUUGCAAACACAACACAGGCUUGAUUAAAAAUGUAUGGGUGGACCUAUUAUUGCCACCUCUAUGAAUUCAAAGAGAAGAAUAUGUUUGAAGUAUAUUCCCAUUGAUAUUUAAAUGUUUUAGUACCCCUGGGUGACUAGGAACAGGAAAUUGUUCAACCAUGACUUGUGUCACAGGGAUAUGAAUAUAAGGUAACACAUAGGCCAAAUUCCCUUAGUCAUUCGUCACAAUAGGUAAGAACAUGGGAGAUAGCUGUGAUGUGCGACAAAAAGUUACUGAGCUUCACAAAAAUGGGGAGUGGCUAUAAGAAAAUAGCAAAAGCAUUGAAAAUGCCCAUUUCCACCAUCAGGACAAUAAUUAAGAAGUUCCAGUCAACUGAUAAUGUUAUGAAUGAACCUGUAACAGGACGUCUCUCUAUAGCGUCUCAAUGCGCAGUGAAGAGGAUGAUUUGGGUGGCUAAAAACUCUCCAAGCAUCACAGCUGGAGAAAUACUGAAGCUAGUUGUGUCUUGUGGUCAGAAAGUCUCCAAAACUACAAUCUGUCACUUGGAUACUCCGGCAGGACAAACAUCAAAAUCAGCCCCAAAAUGGUUUACUGACCACAAAAUCAAUGUCCUGCCAUGGCCAUCCUAGUCCCUUGACUUGUACCCCAUUGGAAAUCUGUGGGGUGAACUGAAUAGAAGAGUCCAUCAGCAUUAACUUUGAAGGAUCUGUUGAGAUUCUAUAUUGAGGAAUGUUCUCGGUCCCUUGCCAUGUAUUGUCCAUCCUCAUCAGGUAUUUUAGGAAGACUCAUAGCACUUAUCCUGGGAGAUAGCACAAUUGUUCCGCACAUAUAUUUAACAAAUAUUAUGUUUUUAUAAACCUUGUGUUUAAAAUGGUUUGAUAUCCACGAGAGCAGAGUAUUUUUGUGUAUUUUUUGAACAAAUUAUCUAAACAGCAAUUCACAGCCUUUUUUGCUCAUAUUUCCAAAGGGUGCCAAUAUUAGUGGAGGGCACUGUACGUGCAUCUUGGGUCAGACAGUAUUUGAAAACUGAUUGUUAGUCUCUAUAAUCUCUAUAGUUAGUCUCUAUGGUCUUCCCCGCUUCACUCUCUGCAGAGAAGCAUGUAAACCAUAGAGACUAACUCGGUUUUCAAACACUGCCUGACCCAAGGUGCAUGUAUAUGGCUGAAGGAUGCUGUCAUAGACUUAAGAUAGGGAUGGGUUUCUAAUUUUUUUGACAUUUAUUUAAUUUAAAAAAAAUCGAUUUCCUUUUAAAAUUUGAUGAAAGGCUUAUUAUAUUGUAAAUAGCUUUAAGGUUACCGUUGUCCUUUAAGUCUAACGGGCGUACCAAUGCACAAUUACACAAGUGGCACAUCAUGUAAUCUAAAACAGAACGCGAAGCAGAGUAACAAUGACUGCCCCCUCCCAUAUACAAAUAUUCAGAGGGGUGUGCAAUAGUCAGGUAAUUUAAACAAAAUGGUACCAGCCAGUCCUAUGCUCUGCACAAUGAGAUCACUGCCCUCGGCUCACUCCCAGGUCCCAGAACAAAGAGCAAGAGUUGAUGUGUGAUGACCAGACAGAGUAAUGUAUACUGGCCAUAGUAUCGCCAAAUAAUCCACACAUGAGCCAAAGCUUAAUGCUGGAACAAGACUGAUUUACUGGAAGCAACAAGCAUUCAAUUUAUACAGUAACAGACUCCUCCUCUGGGCUAGGCUAGAUAAUUGAGUUUCAGCAACAUACUAAACUCAAUUAUCUGCUGGCCAGAAACAUUACAAUUUUCAACAUUUUUAGAAAAAUACUUUCUGCAUAACAUUGGUAGCUGAGGAUACUGGGAGGCACACAUUCAAAUUUCACGACAAUCCGUUUGGUAGUUUCCGUGUCGCAUCGUGUGAAAGUUUGACCGGCUCGCCAUGUGGUGGUAUCCGAUUUAGAGUUCCAUGAAAUCAGUAGCAAGAGCCGUUCUCCGUUCGCGCAGAGUUACAUGAAAACUACCAUAGGUAUGUUGCAGCCGGUUACAUGAAAGUGCUCGCCUCGUUCGGUAGAUUAAAACUCCUGAACACCGGUUUGAUACUAUGGGUGGAAAUAGGUGAGAUGGGACUUCCAUAAUGACCGGACGUUCGUGUGAUUGCCAUGCUGAAAACAGUUCCAGGCAAUUCACGGGUAAGUCCCGUUAACCGCAUUUUAAGAUUUAAGAUGGCCACCAUCCUUUGUUCUCGCCACGUGUUCGUAUGCCAAAUGGCGGCCACCUAGAAGCACUCAAUUAAGUUGUGGUUUUUCGUGUUUUUACUCGGUGUUCCAAAUUCUGAUUGCUAUCUAGGGUGGUCUCCGUUCGGUAGAACGAAUACAUUUCCCGAACACAUAAUUAAAACGAAACGUUCAAAGGUAGUUAAAGAGCAGGGAGAGGACACAACCGAAUGAACACAGGUGAAUACAGGGAAAUCCUUUACAGGAGGAAAGUAGGAGAUGGCCCAGGAGACAUGGAACAUGGGUGGAGGGUCCAGCUGCACUGCGCACUACGCACAUUCGGGGGAGCUUCUAUGUAAGGGUCAUUCAGAGAGUGGGAUUAUCAGAACUAUAGCAGAGUGUGCAGAGCUCCACUCCUAUAUUCAGAGAGGGGGAGCUUCUAUGUAAGGGUCAUUCAGAGAAUGGGAUUAUCAGUAAUAUAACAGAGUGUGCAGAGCUCCACUCCUAUAUUCAGAGAGGGGGAGCUUCUAUGUAAGGGUCAUUCAGAGAGUGGGGUUAUCAGUACUAUAACAGAGUGUGCAGAGCUCCACUCCUAUAUUCAGAGAGGGGGAGCUUCUAUGUAAGGGUCAUUCAGAGAGUGGGGUUAUCAGUACUAUAACAGAGUGUGCAGAGCUCCACUCCUAUAUUCAGAGAGGGGGAGCUUCUAUGUAAGGGUCAUUCAGAGAGUGGGGUUAUCAGUACUAUAACAGAGUGUGCAGAGCUCCACUCCUAUAUUCAGAGAGGGGGAGCUUCUAUGUAAGGGUAAUUCAGAGAGUUGGAUUAUCAGUACUAUAACAGAGUGUGCAGAGCUCCACUCCUAUAUUCAGAGAGGGGGAGCUUCUAUGUAAGGGUCAUUCAGAGAGUGGGGUUAUCAGUACUAUAGCAGAGUGUGCAGAGCUCCACUCCUAUAUUCGGAGAGGGGGAGCUUCUAUGUAAGGGUCAUUCAGAGAGUGGGGUUAUCAGUACUAUAACAGAGUGUGCAGAGCUCCACUCCUAUAUUCAGAGAGGGGGAGCUUCUAUGUAAGGGUCAUUCAGAGAGUGGGGUUAUCAGUACUAUAGCAGAGUGUGCAGAGCUCCACUCCUAUAUUCAGAGAGGGGGAGCUUCUAUGUAAGGGUCAUUCAGAGAGUGGGAUUAUCAGUACUAUAACAGAGUGUGCAGAGCUCCACUCCUAUAUUCAGAGAGGGGGAGCUUCUAUGUAAGGGUCAUUCAGAGAGUGGGGUUAUCAGUACUAUAACAGAGUGUGCAGAGCUCCACUCCUAUAUUCAGAGAGGGGGAGCUUCUAUGUAAGGGUCAUUCAGAGAGUGGGGUUAUCAGUACUAUAACAGAGUGUGCAGAGCUCCACUCCUAUAUUCAGAGAGGGGGAGCAGUGAAUUGCUUUGUGUUAUAUGUCUAAUGAAACAUGAAAAAAAACUGCUACAAAAUGUUUUUUUUUUCUAAAUUGCUUUAUUUUAGAAAUAUAUGAUUUUACUGUAUAUGGGCAUUAUUCUCAAUGCAGACCGUCUUUUUACAUUCUCUUGCCAAUUUCAGUACUGCUAGUAAUAUCUUCAGGGUCCGUACAAAUAUAAACAUGGAAUUUGACCAUUUUUAUUUAUCUAUUUUUGUCCGAACCUACUGUAUGUGAGAAACAGUGUAUUUUUGUUUUACAUUUUACAGCCUGAGAUAUAGAAAACAUUGUAAGAUAAAGGGCAUUAUGUACUGCCUAACGCUUUUCAUUCCCCAAAUAUUUGUAUAAGGCUGAUUGAAUUAAUAAAUAAUGAAACUUGUGUAAAUUUGACUAAAUUUAAUUUAUGUUUUUCUGAAAAGCAAUAUACACAAAGACUUUGAGUUUUAUUAAAUGUUUAAAUGCCAGCUAUGCAUUCCUUGCUUCAAACACAUGUGAAGCGUAAGGUUCGUUCACAGGACCAUUGCUUGGUAACGAAUGGGUUAAUAUAAGAUUUGUUGCGGCCAUGUUAUUAACUUCGACCCGUGAAUUGGUUCCCUGUGAAUAGUACUGUGUCCGAUGUAUGUUCCAUUCUGUGUACUGCAAUGAGAGGUGCACACUAUGUACUAACACGGCAUGACAUUACUUAACAGCUCUCUAUAAACUGUUAGAGCAUAUGGUCAGUUUUUAUCUAAAGGGUUAAUCCAAGCACCAUCACCACUUCUAUGAUUUGUAGUGGUCAUGGUGCCUGGAGUCUGUAUGUUCAGUGUUCUGAAAGUUUAACGUCUUUGCUGCUAGAGAUUUAACUCCACCUGCAAACGACUCUUCCUUAAUGCUUUAUUCUUGUACAAAACUCAGUGCAGUUUUUAUUUCACUCUGCAAAUAAACCAUUUAACAGAGAGCUGAAUGUUUCCUUGUUAAGUCCUGUGGCUUCUAUCGCUUGUUCAGCUUGUUUUGAUAUGCGUCCAGACUUGAAAUGACUUGAAUCCCAGUUUGCAGAUAAUUGUAGAUUAUGCUAACGUAGUGUACCUAUAAUCUUAAUUUUAAUAAUGACAGGAGGCGAAUAUUUUGCAUAACUUCCUUUACUUUAUGCCUCCAGCAGCACAAGUCAAUCAAUAAACAUUAACCCCUUAAGGACCAAACUUCUGGAAUAAAAGGGAAUCAUGACAUGUCACACAUGUCAUGUGUCCUUAAGGGGUUAAACCAAUCAGUAACAGGCAUUACAUCCAAAUAUAAAGCCCUGACAGACACAUGACUUCAUCUUUCUUUGAAGUGAAAAACAGUCUAUUAUAACGUCAGGGAAUUCAAAUAACAGUCCUGAGUAACGUGUAGCACAUAACUUGAAACGAAACCUGAAACCUUCCAGCUUUAUCUUGUCGAAUCCAUCUAUGAUGAUUACACUGAAAAGGUGAUGGAAACCAACUGUUGUCCACAUUAAAUCCAGUACUAUACAUAUCUAUAUUUAUAUUAAGUUAAUAUGCUGAAACAUUAAACAACCAUUGUAUAUUUAAUAAUCAACACGGAUCUAACACAUGUCAACCAAAUAAGCAUCCCAUAAAUAUACUGAAUUACCAAAACCUUAUAAUUACACUGGGAAAAUGACAAACCAGAAUAUAAAAUUUUCCAGAGUAUAGGGAGGGAAACAGGGAGGGAAAAUAUUCGCCUCCUGUCAUUAUUAAAAUUAAGAUUAUAGGUACACUACGUUAGCAUAAUCUACAAUUUUAUCACAUGACAGGAGGCUUCAUAUUUUGCAUUUUUAAAGCUGUGGUAUGAGUGAGAAGGAUGCGUGUGUGGUUGACGAAAAUAAAUAUAUGGAAGUAGUCUAUCCGUGUCCAAUUCGUUGCUGAAAAUAUAGAGGCCCCCCGUGAAGGCCUGAGAAGCAGCUGCGCCUCUUACCGCAUGAGUACCCAAAACACGUCUCCACCCCCGCUAACGAUAACAACCAAUGAACCCAUCUAGACAGAGUGUUCAUGGUAACUGGCUUGUAUGGUUGGACAACCAUUCUGGGUGCCAUGCUUGACUCCUUUACCGCGGUAAUGAGUACUAUCGAAGUCUUCGCUAUUCUGAUCCCAAUUUCAUAGGUGUGUCCGGAUCUCAGGCAGUGAGCUUUCAGUCGCUGUCUGGUCCGGUAGUGAAGCGGUCCUGGGAAAUAGUCAAAGGGUUAUGGUGCCUUUCCGCCGUACCCGUCGAAUUUCCUUAUGAAUCGUUGCUAUCAAUGAUGUGGGAAGGUGUAAUCCGCCCAAGGUGGAAUCUACUCCAAAGUAGAGGAACUGAAUCACUCAGAACUGGGAUCGAACCGACUCCUCUCUGUUCAUUGUGAAUCCCAACAAUUCCCGAAACUGUAAACAUAAAUCUCGUUUGUAAACGUAGUCAGGAAUUGGAUUUGCAAAAGGUCAGUAAGUCGUCUAGGUAUGCGACAAUGGAUACCCUUUGCUCUUCAGUGCGCCAUGACCGGCUUCAGAAACUUCAUGAGGCACAAUGUGAACAAGUAGGUAAGUGCCCUUCAAAUCCAACCUUGCGAACCCCUCUCGAGGAGUAGAUCCCCUAAGAGAUGGAUACCUUCCUUCUUGAGUUGUCGGCAGGUCCGAACUGGGGAUUCCAAAGCAGCCCUGGAAAAAAAUCUAUGCCAGCCCCAUAAGUCAUUGCGCCAUAUAUUGUCGCAUGUAAUAUGUAAGGCUAUGUCUUGCCACCCUAGAUGAUAUAUAUAUAUAUAUAUAUAUAUAUAUAUAUAUAUAUUGCUUUUUCCAAUAUAAAAUAUUGGUCCUUUCAGAGUAAAAUUUUUAAUUAUACAGUAAGCAUACUCACAUGCAGACACAGACAAUCUCACUGACACAAGCUGAUUGAUACACACCCUCAUAGACAAACAAUCUCACUGAUAUACAUAAGGUCAUUGACAUAUAAACACAAGCUCACUCAGUAGUAGGCACACACACAAGCAAGCCCAGUCACUAGCAAGCGCACACACACACACAGCUUAAUGUAGUGGCUCUGGUGUCUAUAACCUGUCCCUGCAGUCUUUUCAAUGUAAACACUGACUUUUUAGAGAAAAGGCAGUGUUUACAUUGCUUCCUAGUGACAGACACUCAGACGGUCACUAGAGAUGCUUCCUGUGUCAGUGUGGAUUGGCUGAGAUCAUCAAGCUUUAUGAUCUCAGCCAUAGAGACAGGGCCAGUCGAGGGGAGACCAGCACGACGUGGGGAAAAAGGUGCGUAAAAACAUACAUACACACACAUAUACAGACACACACCAUGACACAGACAGACCGUGACACAGACACACACACCGUGACACAGACAGAAACACAGACACACCAUGACAGACAGACACACCAUGGCACAGACAGACACACACACACACCAUGACAGACACACACUUUAAAAAAGACACACACACCUUGACACACACACCAUAACACAGACAGACCGUGACACAGACACACACACACAACACAGACAGACACACACCAUGACACACAGACACACACACACCACGACACAGAGAGACCGUGACACAGACACACACACACCGUGACACAGACAGACACACAUUACAUGACACGGCCAGACACACAUUACCUGACACAGACAGACACACACACACCAUGACAUACAGACACACACACACACCAUGACACAGACAGACCAUGACAUAGACAGACACACAUUACAUGACAGACACACACACGCACACACACCAUGACACAGACACACAUUGCAUGACACAGACAGGCGCACACACCAUGACAGACAGGCACACACACCAUGCCAGACAGACACACACACCAGGACACAGACAGACACACACACGCACCAUGACACAGACAGAGAUGCACACACACACACACCAGGACAGACAGAGACGCACACACACACAUACACUCACACUGACACACACAAUUUCUACCUGUGGGGAGCUCUGAUGGCGACCGCAUGGGGGAGCUGGCUGUUCUGGUGGCCGCAGAGGGAGCUCCUUUGACGGCUGCAGGGGGAGCUGGCUGUUCUGUCUCUGCUCCCCCGCCCCAGCGCGCCGCUUAAUGAGACCAGGGCCGGAAUAUGACGUCAUAUUCCGGCCCCGGUCUCUUUCUAGCGCGCGAGGGCGGGGGAGCAGAGACAGAACAGCCAGCUCCCCCUGCGGCCGCCAAAGGAGCUCCUUCUGCGGCCGCAGGUGAGCCAGCUGCCUGCCGGGCCCCAGGUGCUGAUGGCCCACCAGGAAAUUUUCCGGGAUCCCGUUGGGCCAGUCUGUCCCUGGUUGUCGGUACGCCCCAAAACUAUUGGGUUUUCGUAAGUUGAUGACUGGACGAUAGUCUCCUGGCUUCUUCCUUACUACCAAACCGUUGCUGAGAUAAAUGGUUCUCCAAACAAUAGUCCGUUCGCCUGAGGUCCUCGCUCUUAGUCCCUAACUUCAAUAGUUUGAAAUCCAUAUUUAAUCGGGCUGCUUUGCGCCGUUCUGUGCACCUGUCUGACUUGCGUUCCCCAACCUACAUAUUGCCCUUUGCACCCAUUCCCUCACAUCGUGAGCUUCUAGAGAUGAGUCUUGGGUGGGGUCAGGUCCGCAAAGUAUAGAAUUUUUUCCCAGGGCUGAUCAUGUCCAGUAUUUCAUCCUAACUAGUUUUGAGUCCUUCUCCUACACCUUUACAUGGACCCCGGCCUGAUCGGGACAUAAAUAUCACCACAGUGAUACUGAGCUCCAUGGUGAGGACUAUCUUGUUUGGUCAUAGAGGGCGUAGGAAUUCCACCCUGAGCUUGUCUCGGACUUCUUUUCCCAUAGGCCUCCUGAGCCAGAAGUGGGCAAAGUGUGCCAGGUGCUCCGGUAAACCCCAUUUGGAUGACCCUGGGUGUCGGAUGGUGCAUGAGUCAAAACAAGAGUGUCUAGUGUGCCAAAGAAAAACCUUUUUUGCUAGGCUGGUCUUGUCACUUUACCUCUUCAGAUGGAGACUCUUCUGCUCUUCAUUCUUGCAUGAUCUCCAGAGAAGGGGGAGGGAUGAAGUCCUCGUCCCCUGAUGAUGGAGCCUGAGAUGAUUAAUGGACAGGACAUUCUGAGAAACGGCUCCGCUAAGUCAGGGUGUUCCCUUUCCCCUUUGGAGAAGCCACGUUGGAGCCCUUCCAAUGGUGUUUAGAUGAUAAGGUGUCCGACCUGAUAAGGUUGUCGGUAUCUAUAGCUUCCAUUGGUGUUGGUGCCGUUGCACCCGUUCUGUCGGAUGGGUUGUUAGCGGACUUCUUCACCCGAAGCUGCCAUGGCGGCCUUAAUCCUCGCCUGAAAAUCGGUCGGGGGUAUUGAUCGAUCAAUUUCGAUCAAUCAGUACCACUUUCGCAGGAUCCGGGGAGUGGUCUGAGAAUGAGGACACCCUCAGUAAGACCGGGAUGAGCGGUCUGCAAUGUCGGGACGUAGCCCGAGUAUGGGAGACGUGUAAGCCUCAAUAUGUAUAAUCCAAGGGGUUCAUCCUUAUAUGGCCUAGAAUUGUGGAGUUUUGGCAGCACUGUGAGUUCUCCUUCUCGGUUAAGGGAAGGGCGUACAGAUCCCCCAGUUGAAGCAUAGAGGUGUCGGAAUACAUGCAUCUAGUACGCCCUGGUCUGUGCAUACAAUGACAGAGCGUACUCUGAAGGUAGAAGCCCUAGAAAGGGCACCGGGGGGUAACCCCAUCCGGCAGGGAGGUCACCACUUUGUACCUAUGCCACUAGCACCGGAGAAAGACUCGCUUGGGGGUCACCCAGCGUAGGGGGGUUACCCCUGUAUGUAUGUCUCUUAUGGCAUGUUGGGACACUCUUUCGGUCUGUGGGGUACCGAACAGGUGUCAGGUACGGUAGUACACUUAUUGCUACUUAGUGGGCCUGCACGUGCGACUGGGGGUCACCCAGAAUUGUUUCAAUCAGUACCACUUAGAGAUUUCCUGGGAGUGGUCUGAGGAGGGGGUCACCCUCAAUAAGACCAGGAUGAGUGGUCAGUAAUGUCAGGACGUAGCCCAUGUAUGGGGAGAUAUGGUAGCCUCCAAAUUAUCCAAGGGGUCACCCUUAUGGGAUAUAGUACUGUGGAGAAUUGGCAGCACCGUGAGCUCUCCUUCCUGGCUCUGUCGAUAUACAUGUAUCCAGUGUGUCCCGGUCUGUGCAUACAGUAACAGAUCGUACUCCGUGGAUAUGAGCCCGUCUGAGGGCGUGGGGGUUCCCCCCAGUAUAUGUAUGUCACUAGUACCGGAAUAAGAUUCGCUUGGGGUUCACCCAGCGUAGGGGGUUCAUCACAGUAUAUGUAUGUCACUAGGACAGGAACUAGAUUCGCUUGGGGGUCAUCCAGCGUAAGGGGGGUCACCCCUGUACCACAAUGUCACUUUGGAGAGGUGUCUGCUAUGCUUGGGGGUCACCCAGCGUAAGGAGGGUCACCCCUGUUAAUCACUCAGUUAUGUGUCUCCACUACUGUGUCCUGGGAGGUGUAUUCCUGUGGGAAAGGACUGUAUCCAAUGGUUGUGAGGUCCAGUGGGAGUAGGGAGCUGAGUAAGUUAUCAGCUCUAUUUAAUUUCCCUGCCAGCAGAUAGAGUAAUGCAUCCACUAUGUGCCCACAGCAGGAAACAGUCCAUUCAUAAUCCUCCAGACGUACAAUAAAACUGUUAUUCAACAUGUCAAUUGUAUAGAACAGAAUAGAGCAAACUGCCAGCAGACAUGAGUACUGCAUCCACUACAUGCACACAGCAGGGAUCAGUCCUACAUAUUCAUGCAGAGUUACAUAUAAAACUUUUAUUUCACAUGCCAAUGAAAUAUGACAAUAUAGAGCUCAGCAGUGAACAGUCUAUUCAUAAUCUUCCAGAAUAGGUACAUAUAAAACCUUUAUUCCACAUGCCCAUGAUAUGUAUUAGUAUUGAGCUCAAAAGUACUUGUAAAACUUUUAUUUUGCAGGAAAAAUAUUUUAAACAGUACAGAUCUAGCUGCCAGUUCAUGGGAAUCACAAACUGGCUAAACGACAUGGCCGACGUGAAUCUCACAUUCAAGAUAGCCGCCGUUAGCGUGCAAAAGUGUUGUGUGGCCCGCGAUCGAGGAUACGAUCGCGGCCCGCCGGUAUUGGACAGAGUCGCCCCGACACCCCCACCCCCAGAGACCUUCUCUGAAGUCCCAGCACCAGUGAAUAAAAAAGCGUGCUCGCGGUAAAAUGCCACGAUCGCAAAAAAAACACGAUCGCGUAAAACGCUAUCCGUGCGAGACCAGAGUAAAGCAUAGGAAAGAAAAGGUGCCAGCAACAGAAAACCAAACAGGCUAAUAAAGCAGAAAAUACAGGGUUAAUUUGGGGGAAGGGUAACAGGGGGAGAAUAUCACACUAUACAAGUCCAAAUGGAAGGCAAGUGCAAAAUAAUGAAAAACGUUUAGGGCAAAAUUGCAGGACCAGCUAAUAAAGUUUAACUAAAGUGGCCAUGCAUAUCCAGAAAGAGUUUGUAGCAAAACUGAAUGUCUAGCAUUAGAAAUCUAACUAAAGUGACCAUAGCAAUAUUAAUAAAAACAGUUGGAGCAAACUGAAAGUCAAUUAAUAAAGUUUAAUUAAAGUGACCAUUGCAAUAUCCAGAAAACCAGUUUGGAUUAAAACUGAAUGUCUAGCAUACGGUGUCUAACUACAGUGACCAUAGCAAUAUUAAUAAAACAGUUUGGAACAAACUGAAAGUUAAGCAAUAAAUGAUUAACUAAUGACAAUUGCAAUAUCAGUAAAACAGUUUGGAGCAAAAUACUCUGACCGGUGCCUUGGCUGGUAAGCAGCAAAGAAAGAGGAAGUCAUGUGUCUGUCAGGGCUUUAUAUAUGGAUGUGAUGCCUGUUACUGAUUGGUUUAAAGUUUAUUGAUUGACUUAUGCUGCUUUAGGCAUAAAGUAAAGAAAGUUAUGCAAAAUAUGAAGCCUCCUGUCAUGUGAUGAAAUUCCUGCCUCCUAUUAAUUGAUUACCAUGCUUGGCUGGCCUCAUAUCAGUAGAAACGAUUCCCGUACAAUCCCUGUUUUUUCUGAUGUCUUCGCUGAGGUCAUGACUUGUUCUCCUUUUCAAAUCCUGAGCACCAGCUGUUUUCAUAGUUUAUUUUUAUAAAAGUACCCAGUCCCCGGGGGGGCGGAGCCAAGCAGCACAUGGAGACGGUCGCAAAUCAGACCGGCUCCGAUCAUCUACGUUAAUAAACCCACAAUUUCGGUGACUUGAGCAGGCACACACGGACAAUAUCCGUAGAGCUACACGCAGGAGGACCCAUCGAACCCGCAGAUGCCCUUCUUGUUCCCGGCGACCACUAAAAUCCGGCGCCGAGGAUCUCGGGCCUACCACGCGGGCAGCCGGCUGCUGGAGUGGAACGGUAGCCUCGGGGCCACCCUCGACCUCCUCACCAAUAACAUCCUGGGCGACCCCUCCGACGACACAAUGGGCCGAAAAAACCCGCGGCAAAGCCAAACACCAGCCAGAGAGGGCCAAGAUAUCGGGCAAAUGCUCAGCUCAGCGCCACGCGCAAAAGAAAUGGCGCACCCGCGGCCUGCAGCCCAACCUACUCUCAUGGAGGAAAACACGCCAGAAUUGGAGUCCCUUUUGUCAGGGGACAGAGAAGCUCCAUCCACAAAAGGAGACAUAUACAAUUUAUUCCUCCAUAUGCAGAAGCUCUUCACAAAGGACAUCACAGCAGUGAAGACAGAGGUACAGCAGGUAACUGCUAGACUAAACACCACAGAGGCAGACAUCACCUCACUGAAACAGGGUAUAGACAGCCUUGGGGACACAGUUCAACACCUUAACUCCUCCUAUACACACCUAUCGAGCCGAAUGGAACAAUUAGAAGACAGAAGCAGGAGUAAAAACAUCAAAAUACGGGGGGUCGCUGACACGCUCCCCCCCGAGGAGCUCCCACAUUUUGUCAGGCGACUGAUCGCCUUCCUACUACCGACACGAUCGGCCAAGCAAUUCUCCUUUGAAGGAGUUUACCGCAUCGCUAAGUCUCCCCAAGCACCCACCACCUCAACCAGAGACAUCAUCUUAUGUUGCCAGUCUCAUGCAGAUAAGCAAAGGAUCUUCACAGCUCUGAAGGGGAAAACGCCAUUACAAUUUGAAUCCUUUUCACUCACCUUUUUCCAAGACCUCUGCAGAGCCACGCUACUAUGGAGAAAAUCCAUGCAACCAAUCACCAAGGCCCUUCAAAGCGCGGGACUGGCAUACCGUUGGACCCAUCCCAGAACCCUCACAGUGAUUAAAAAUGGGAAACAAUACAAAGCUUCUAGUCCCUCUGAGUGUACAGCCUUCCUACAGGCACUGGAGCUGCCAGCAACGCAAGACACGCCGACAAUGUCGGCUGAAUGGGAUGUGAGCAACAUCACCCCUUUCACACCCAGGAACAGACGGGACACUGACACUUAACCUCAGACACCCAUUCCAACCUCCUGAGACAUUUCACUCAGUCCAAAAACUUUGGGCCAAAAACGGACUUAUGAAAGUACGCGCCGAUUGCGAGUUUAACAGAGACUUAGUAAGCUGCACAGUUAAUUUCUAAACUCCAGAAACUGAAUGAAGAUCCUCUCAUAUGCAAACCACGAACUUAAGCCACUUAAUGUUAACUGUUAUCUAAUCACUGUUACACCCGAAGUUUAACCAUUGUACUUUUCCUUCCCUACACCAAGGGUACAGGAACACCUGGCUGCAUACAUAUUACUGGCCACUGUUAGAAGAUCACCAGAGCCCCAGUCAGUCACUCAGGCCCCCGUUCAAUAUACCGCCAAGACCCAUAGGAUCUCCACUAUCCUUCCUCCCUCCCCCCCCCGUUACCCCAUAGGUUAGAGGGCACGGCAGAAAGGUCAGGAGCUGUAGAACAGCACCAAAACGAUGUUAAUACCAACCACACUGACCUGAAGAUCGCCCACACAUAGUUAAUCCGCAGAAAAGGUAACAGAGACAUUCCAAUAGACGAGCCCUAGACACAAAUAGGCACACGACAACUUCUACAUUCCUGUGCCACCAAGGACAACACAUAAUGCUACAGACGAGAACUUGGCCACAAAUGUAGUCAAGAACUACAAACAUUUCAACCUAACCUAGGGAGCACACACCUACUGGAAUGACUAGACCUUAAUCCUCACCUUACAGUGCAGGCACCUGAUUGUGAAUAUCCAUUGUGAGCUAUGUUGUCACUUCAAUAUUACUGUCAUGGUAUUGUAAACCUAAAUCUGUCAUUAUGCACGGCAAAAAUAAAGAAUUAUAAAAAAAUAAAAAAAAAUGCCAGAGAGACAUACACACACACACUACUUAACAUUCACUGUCGGACAGGCACAUACACUGACAAACAUACACACUAUGCAUGCACAGGUAAACAUACAGACACACACAUCCACUGCCAAAUACACAGACAUAUACACACUAGUGAUGUCGCGAACCCGAAAUUUUCGGUUCGCGAACGGCGAACGCGAACUUCCGCAAAUGUUCGCGAACCGGCGAACCGCCCGAAACGCCAUUGACUUCAAUGGGGAGGCGAAUUUUAAAACACACAGGGACUCUUUCUGGCCACAAUAGGGAUGGAAAAGUUGUUUCAAGGGACUAACACCUGGACUGUGGCAUGCCGGAGGGGGAUCCAUGGCAAAACUCCCAUGGAAAAUUACACAGUUGAUACAGAGUCUGGUUUUAAUCCAUAAAGGGCAGAAAUCACCUAACAUUUCUAAAUCACAAUCAAUAUGGAUUGACACCUGACAUAUGACAUAUUGACACCUUGACAUAUGGAUUGACACCUGUCCUCAGAGCCCCUGAUGCACACGGACACAGAGCAGAAUAGAGACUGGUCCCCUACAUAGGGUCACUUGGCAGAUAUGGAUUGACACCUGUCCUAAGGAUCCCUGAUACACACUGACACAGAGCAGAAUAGGGACUGUUCCCCCUACAUUGGGUCACUUGGCAGAUAUGGAUUGACACCUGUCCUAAGGUUCCCUGAUACACACUGACACAGAGCAGAAUAGGGACUGGUCCCCCUACAUCGGGUCACUUGGCAGAUAUGGAUUGACACCUUGUUACAAACUGCUAUUUGUAACGGGCCCUUUAAAUGGCAAAUUGCCCUACUUGCCAGCCUCCUCCCGCAUGACUAUGGCCCCUGGGAGAUUGUGAAAAUGUAUGCACUUUUAUUUGGUGUGUAUGGCCUUUAAGACUGUCAGUGGGCAUACUGGGGCUUAUGGACUCUUUAUGUGACUGGUGCUGGCCCUUUAAACACCUUUUUUGGGACAUCAGGAAGAUUGGGACACUGCCCCUUUAAGGCCGUGUCCCCAGACUUGUUGGGGACACGGCCCCUUUAAGGCGGUGUCCCCUGUGUCCCCAGACCUGGUGCAAACCCUUUGUGCCUGCCUUGCUAUUUCCCACUUGGUUCAGUAAAUGGGAAAUUAUUUCAGCUGCAGAGACUAAGUCCCAUUCGUGAUGGGACUUAGUCUUUUUUUCAGCCGUUUUUUUCAGCCUUAUUUCAGCUGCAGAGACUAAGUCCCAUUCGUGAUGGGACUUAGUCUUUUUUUCAGCCGUUUUUUUCAGCCUUAUUUCAGCUGCAGAGACUAAGUCCCAUUCGGCGAUGGGACUUAGUCUUUUCUUCAGCCGUUUUUUUCAGCCUUAUUUCAGCUGCAGAGACUAAGUCCCAUUCGGCGAUGGGACUUAGUCUUUUCUUCAGCCGUUUUUUUCAGCCUUAUUUCAGCUGCAGAGACUAAGUCCCAUUCGGCGAUGGGACUUAGUCGUUUUNNNNNNNNNNNNNNNNNNNNNNNNNNNNNNNNNNNNNNNNNNNNNNNNNNNNNNNNNNNNNNNNNNNNNNNNNNNNNNNNNNNNNNNNNNNNNNNNNNNNAUGUAAGGCUAUGUCUUGCCACCCUAGAUGAUAUAUAUAUAUAUAUAUAUAUAUAUAUAUAUAUAUAUAUAUUGCUUUUUCCAAUAUAAAAUAUUGGUCCUUUCAGAGUAAAAUGUUUAAUUAUACAUUAAGCAUACUCACAUGAAGACACAGACAAUCUCACUGACACAAGCUGAUUGAUACACAGCCUCAUAGACAAACAAUCUCACUGAUAUACAUGAGGUCAUUGACAUAAAAACACAAGCUCACUCAGUAGUAGGCACACACACACACAAGCAAGCCCACUCACUAGCAAGCGCACACACACACACAGCUUAAUGUAGUGGCUCUGGUGUCUAUAACCUGUCCCUGCAGUCUUUUCAAUGUAUACACUGACUUUUUAGAGAAAAGGCAGUGUUUACAUUGCUUCCUAGUGACAGACACUCAGACGGUCACUAGAGGUGCUUCCUGUGUCAGUGCGGAUUGGCUGAGAUCAUCAAGCUUUAUGAUCUCAGCCAUAGAGACAGGGCCAGUCGAGGGGAGACCAGCACGACGUGGGGAAAAAAAAAAGGUGCGUAAAAACAUACAUACACACACAUAUACAGACACACACCAUGACACAGACAGACCGUGACACAGACACACACACCGUGACACAGACAGAAACACACACACACCGUGACACAGACAAAAACACAGACACACCAUGACAGACAGACACACCAUGACACAGACAGACACACACACACACCAUGACAGACACACACUUUAAAAAAGACACACACACCUUGACACACACACCAUAACACAGACAGACCGUGACACAGACACACACACACGACACAGACAGGCACACACCAUGACACACAGACACACACACACCACAACACAGAGAGACCGUGACACAGACACACACACACCGUGACACAGACAGACACACAUUACAUGACACGGCCAGACACACAUUACCUGACACAGACAGACACACACACACCAUGACAUACAGACACACACACACACCAUGACACAGACAGACCAUGACAUAGACAGACACAUAUUACAUGACAGACACACGCACACACACCAUGACACAGACACACAUUGCAUGACACAGACAGGCGCACACACCAUGACAGACAGGCACACACACCAUGCCAGACAGACACACACACCAGGACACAGACAGACACACACACGCACCAUGACACAGACAGAGAUGCACACACACACACACCAGGACAGACAGAGACGCACACACACACAUACACUCACACUGACACACACAAUUUCUACCUGUGGGGAGCUCUGAUGGCGACCGCAUGGGGGAGCUGGCUGUUCUGGUGGCCGCAGAGGGAGCUCCUUUGACGGCUGCAGGGGGAGCUGGCUGUUCUGUCUCUGCUCCCCCGCCCCAGCGCGCCGCUUAAUGAGACAAGGGCCGGAAUAUGACGUCAUAUUCCGGCCCCGGUCUCUUUCUAGCGCGCGAGGGCGGGGUAGCAGAGACAGAACAGCCAGCUCCCCCUGCGGCCGCCAAAGGAGCUCCUUCUGCGGCCGCAGGUGAGCCAGCUGCCUGCCCGGCCCCAGGUGCUGAUGGCCCACCAGGAAAUUUUCCGGGAUCCCGUUGGGCCAGUCUGUCCCUGGUUGUCGGUACGCCCCAAAACUAUUGGGUUUUCAUAAGUUGAUGACUGGACGAUAGUUUCCUGGCUUCUUCCUUACUACCAAACCGUUGCUGAGAUAAAUGGUUCUCCAAACAAUAGUCCGUUCGCCUGAGGUCCUCGCUCUUAGUCCCUAACUUCAAUAGUUUGAAAUCCAUAUUUAAUCGGGCUGCUUUGCGCCGUUCUGUGCACCUGUUUGACUUGCGUUCCCCAACCUACAUAUUGCCCUUUGCACCCAUUCCCUCACAUCGUGAGCUUCUAGAGAUGAGUCUUGGGUGGGGUCAGGUCCGCAAAGUAUAGAAUUUUUUCCCAGGACUGAUCAUGUCCAGUAUUUCAUCCUAACUAGUUUUGAGUCCUUCUCCUACACCUUUACAUGGACCCCGGCCUGAUCGGGACAUAAAUAUCACCACAGUGAUACCGAGCUCCAUGGUGAGGACUAUAUUGUUUGGUCAUAGAGGGCGUAGGAAUUCCACCCUGAGCUUGUCUCGGACUUCUUUUCCCAUAGGCCUCCUGAGCCAGAAGUGGGCAAAGUGUGCCAGGUGCUCUGGUAAACCCCAUUCGGAUGACCCUGGGUGUCGGAUGGUGCAUGAGUCAAAACAAGAGUGUCCAGCGUGCCAAAGAAAAACCUUUUUUGCUAGGCGGGUCUUGUCACUUUACCUCUUCAGAUGGAGACUCUUCUGCUCUUCAUUCUUGCAUGAUCUCCAGAGAAGGGGGAGGGAUGAAGUCCUCUUCCCCUGAUGAUGGAGCAUGAGAUGAUUAAUGGACAGGACAUUCUGAGAAACGGCUCCGCUAAGUCAGGGUGUUCCCUUUCCCCUUUGGAGAAGCCGCGUUGGAGCCCUUCCAAUGGUGUUUAGAUGAUAAGGUGUCCGACCUGAUAAGGUUGUCGGUAUCUAUAGCUUCCAUUGGUGUUGGUGCCGUUGCACCCGUUCUGUCGGAUGGGUUGUUAGCGGACUUCUUCACCCGAAGCUGCCAUGGCGGCCUUAAUCCUCGCCUGAAAAUCGGUCGGGGGUAUUGAUCGAUCAAUUUCGAUCAAUCAGUACCACUUUCGCAGGAUCCGGGGAGUGGUCUGAGAAUGAGGACACCCUCAGUAAGACCGGGAUGAGCGGUCUGCAAUGUCGGGACGUAGCCUGAGUAUGGGAGACGUGAAAGCCUCAAUAUGUAUAAUCCAAGGGGUUCAUCCUUAUAUGGCCUAGAAUUGUGGAGUUUUGGCAGCACUGUGAGUUCUCCUUCUCGGUUAAGGGAAGGGCGUACAGAACCCCCAGUUGAAGCAUAGAGGUGUCGGAAUACAUGCAUCUAGUACGCCCUGGUCUGUGCAUACAAUGACAGAGCGUACUCUGAAGGUAGAAGCCCUAGAAAGGGCACGGGGGGUAACCCCAUCCGGCAGGGGGGUCACCACUUUGUACCUAUGCCACUAGCACCGGAGUAAGACUCGCUUGGGGGUCACCCAGCGUAGGGGGGUCACCCCUGUAUGUAUGUCUCUUAUGGCAUGUUGGGACACUCUUUCGGUCUGUGGGGUACCGAACAGGUGUCAGGUACGGUAGUACACUUAUUGCUACUUAGUGGGCCUCCACGUGCGACUGGGGGUCACCCAGAAUUGUUUCAAUCAGUACCACUUAGAGAUUUCCUGGGAGUGGUCUGAGGAGGGGGUCACCCUCAAUAAGACCAGGAUGAGUGGUCAGUAAUGUCAGGACGUAGCCCAUGUAUGGGGAGAUAUGGUAGCCUCCAAAUUAUCCAAGGGGUCACCCUUAUGGGAUAUAGUACUGUGGAGAAUUGGCAGCACCGUGAGCUCUCCUUCCUGGCUCUGUCAAUAUACAUGUAUCCAGUGUGUCCUGGUCUGUGCAUACAGUAACAGAUCGUACUCCGUGGAUAUGAGCCGGUCUGAGGGCGUGGGGGUUCCCCCCAGUAUAUGUAUGUCACUAGGACAGGAACCAGAUUCGCUUGGGGGUCAUCCAGCGUAAGGGGGCUCACCCCUGUACCACAAUGUCACUUUGGAGAGGUGUCUGCCAUGCUUGGGGGUCACCCAGCGUAAGGAGGGUCACCCCUGUUAAUCACUCCGUUAUGUGUCUCCACUACUGUGUCCUGGGAGGUGUAUCCCUGUGGGGAAGGAGUGCAUCCAGUGGUUGUGAGGUCCAGUGGGAGUAGGGAGCUGAGUAAGUUAUAAGCUCUAUUUAAUUUCCCUGCCAGCAGAUAGAGUAAUGCAUCCACUAUAUGCCCACAGCAGGGAACAGUCCAUUCAUAAUCCUCCAGACGUACAAUAAAACUGUUAUUCAACAUGUCAAUUGUAUAGAACAGAAUAGAGCAAACUGCCAGCAGACAUUAGUACUGCAUCCACUACAUGCACACAGAAGGGAUCAGUCCUACAUAUUCAUGCAGAGUUACAUAUAAAACUUUUAUUUUACAUGCCAAUGAAAUAUGACAAUAUAGAGCUCAGCAGUGAACAGUCUAUUCAUAAUCUUCCAGAAUAGGUACAUAUAAAACCUUUAUUCCACAUGCCCAUGAUAUGUAUUAGUAUUGAGCUCAAAAGUACUUGUAAAACUUUUAUUUUGCAGGAAAAAUAUUUUAAACAGUACAGAUCUAGCUGCCAGUUCAUGGGAAUCACAAACUGGCUAAACGACAUGGCCGACGUGAAUCUCGCAUUCAAGAUAGCCGCCGUUAGCGUGCAAAAGUGUUGUGUGGCCCGCGAUCGAGGAUACGAUCGCGGCCCGCCGGUAUUGGACAGAGUCGCCCCGACACCCCCAACCCCCAGAGACCUUCUCUGAAGUCCCAGCACCAGUGAAUAAAAAAGCGUGCUCGCGGUAAAAUGCCACGAUCGCAGUAAAAAAAACACGAUCGCAGUAAAACGCUAUCCGUGCGAGACCAGAGUAAAGCAUAGGAAAGAAAAGGUGCCAGCAACAGAAAACCAAACAGGCUAAUAAAGCAGAAAAUACAGGGUUAAUUUGGGGGAAGGGUAACAGGGGGAGAAUAUCACACUAUACAAGUCCAAACGGAAGGCAAGUGCAAAAUAAUGAAAAACGUUUAGGGCAAAAUUGCAGGACCAGCUAAUAAAGUUUAACUAAAGUGGCCAUGCAUAUCCAGAAAGAGUUUGUAGCAAAAACUGAAUGUCUAGCAUUAGAAAUCUAACUAAAGUGACCAUAGCAAUAUUAAUAAAAACAGUUGGAGCAAACUGAAAGUCAAUUAAUAAAGUUUAAUUAAAGGGACCAUAGCAAUAUUAAUAAAAUAACAGUUUGGAGCAAGCUGAAUGUUAAGCAAUACAUGUUUAACUAAUGACAAUUUGCAAUAUCAGUAAAACAGUUUGGAGCAAAAUCCUCUGACCUGUGCCUUGGCUGGAGCAGCAAAGAAAGAGGAAGUCAUGUGUCUGUCAGGGCUUUAUAUAUGGAUGUGAUGCCUGUUACUGAUUGGUUUAAAGUUUAUUGAUUGACUUAUGCUGCUUUAGGCAUAAAGUAAAGAAAGUUAUGCAAAAUAUGAAGCCUUCUGUCAUGUGAUAAAAUUCCUGCCUCCUAUUAAUUGAUUACCAUGCUUGGCUGGCCUCAUAUCAGUAGAAACGAUUCCCGUACAAUCCCUGUUUUUUCUGAUGUCUUCGCUGAGGUCAUGACUUGUUCUCCUUUUCAAAUCCUGAGCACCAGCUGUUUUCAUAGUUUAUUUUUAUAAAAGUACCCAGUCCCCACUGGGGGUCCCGAGAUAUGAUAAAUAUGGGGUCUCUGGAGGAAAAGUCCUUGAGUUGUGUUGUCAUAUCAAUUUCUUUAAUUUGCUCAAUUUCCCUUCCACUUAUCAAAUCUGAUGAAUGAGCUGCAGCUUAGGACUGAACUACAUUGGUGGAGCCUUUUCCUGGUCUGGAAUGGGUUGGGCUUUCAUUAUAUAUAAUGAAUUAGAAUGAAGCUACUUUGUUUGUUUUUUAACAUGGUGAUACAAAGUUUAUCUAUGGUGAUGGGAUUAUUAUGGGAACAAUAAUUGAGAAAGAUCAAAUGUGCGAGCUGGUCUUCCUUGGAGAAGAUGGUCCAUCACAGCACGUGGUCCAGUGUUACGAUAAAUUGAAUUUUAUAGAUUGACCUGGUUCCUGUCACAAUGUUAUUUAUGGUAUCAGUCAGAAUGUGCGGCUUUGUGCUCAUUGAUCCCGUUCACCUAUCUCUCAUCCUCUCUCACACCUUUAUUCUCUUCCUAUAUAUCACUUUCUUAUUACUGCUGUCUCUGCUCUCUGUGCUCCCUCUCGGUCUCUCCAUCUUUCUCUUUCAUUCUCUGUCUCUCUCCUUCUCUCACUCUGUUUUUCUCUAUUUCUCUCCUCCCUUAUUUUCUUGUUCUCUUUCUUUUUCCUUUAGCUUUCGAGUUCCAUGAAGACGACUUGGAAGAACUUCUCAUAUAUGACGACCUUUUCCUGGAAUAUUUUAACGAGUUCCUUGGUUUAGGGGU
rnacentral:lncRNA from 1 species